UGACGACCAUAGCGAGCGUGAACCACCUGAUUCCAUGCCGAACUCAGCAGUGAAACCGCUUAGCGCCGAUGGUAGUGUGGGGUCUCCCAUGCGAGUAG
rnacentral:rRNA from 1 species